rnacentral:misc_RNA from 1 species
AAAAAAAAAUAAAAAAAAAAUUAUUAAAAAAAAACUGGAUCUGUCCCUGAUUGACGAUCCUUAAAAAAUCAAAUGAAUAAUAGGGAUCUGUACAGCGAAGUCCAAGUAUUUCAGGGCUAAUAUUUAGUCUGCAUCAGCAAUUCACUUUCUCUGGCAUGAAAAAUGAAAAUUAAAGUAUCAUAGGGUUACCUCCCCUUGGAGGUCAUCAUGAAGAGUCUAUAAAGAAAGGGUAUUAAAAUACUGUUCAUUUCUUUUGAAUCAAGCAUUAGAUCUGUCUCCCAAACAACUUAAAAUUUAUCUUUCUAGGCAUAAUAUAAGAGAAUUUUACUUCUGAAACAUUGUUUAUGAAAAAUUAUUUUGUUGUAUGAACUAUAAAGUUCUGUAACUGUUUUGGGCUGAAAUAUAGUUGAGACUUGAAUAUAGUUGAGACUUGAGAAAUAUAUACAAAUAGGAUGUUGUAUGGGCAUUUAUAUUUUAUCCUUUAUCCAAAUCAUUGCACACCUUUAGUUUUAA